CAAUAGCGUAUAUUAAAGUUGUUGCAGUUAAAAAGCUCGUAGUUGGAUUUCGGGGUGGCCUGGCUGGUCCGCCGCAAGGUGAGUACUGGUCAGCCGCCCUUCCUCUCGAAAGCCCCGACUGCUCUUUACUGCAGUGGUCGGGUAGUUCGGGACGUUUACUUUGAAAAAAUUAGAGUGUUCAAGGCAGGCUAUCGCCUGAAUACAUUAGCAUGGAAUAAUGGAAGAGGACCUCGGUCCUAUUUUGUUGGUUUCUAGGGCCGAAGUAAUGAUUAAGAGGGACAGUUGGGGGCAUUCGUAUUUAAUUGUCAGAGGUGAAAUUCUUGGAUCUAUGAAAGACGAACUAGUGCGAAAGCAUUUGCCAAGGAUGUUUUCAUUAA
rnacentral:rRNA from 1 species